rnacentral:ribozyme from 1 species
AGCCAGCAACUCCUAUCCCUACCUUCUCGUGGUACCGGCCGGAGACUAUGAGCAACCUUAGGGAACAUCGGGUAACCAACCGAAUUUUUUGUCGUAGGCUGACGGAAGGGG